GUAGGGAAUAUUGGACAAUGGGGGGAACCCUGAUCCAGCCAUGCCGCGUGGAGGAAGACUGCCCUCUGGGUUGUAAACUCCUUUUAUAUGGGAAGAACCGUCCUCAUUAAUGAGUGACCUGACGGUACCAUAGGAAUAAGCACCGGCUAACUCCGUGCCAGCAGCCGCGGUAAUACGGAGGGUGCAAGCGUUAUCCGGAUUCACUGGGUUUAAAGGGUGCGUAGGCGGAUAAAUAAGUCAGUGGUGAAAUCAACGGGCUCAACCUGUUAACUGCCAUUGAUACUGUGUAUCUUGAAUAUGAGAGAGGUAGGCGGAAUGUUGCAUGUAGCGGUGAAAUGCUUAGAUAUGCUACGGAACACCGAUUGCGAAGGCAGCUUACUAUUUCGUAAUUGACGCUGAGGCACGAAAGCGUGGGUAGCGAACAGGAUUAGAAACCCGUGUAGUCC
rnacentral:rRNA from 1 species